rnacentral:rRNA from 1 species
UCGAACGGUAACAGGUCUUCGGAUGCUGACGAGUGGCGAACGGGUGAGUAAUACAUCGGAACGUGCCCGAUCGUGGGGGAUAACGAAGCGAAAGCUUUGCUAAUACCGCAUAAGAUCUACGGAUGAAAGCAGGGGACCGCAAGGCCUUGCGCGAACGGAGCGGCCGAUGGCAGAUUAGGUAGUUGGUGGGAUAAAAGCUUACCAAGCCGACGAUCUGUAGCUGGUCUGAGAGGACGACCAGCCACACUGGGACUGAGACACGGCCCAGACUCCUACGGGAGGCAGCAGUGGGGAAUUUUGGACAAUGGGCGAAAGCCUGAUCCAGCCAUGCCGCGUGCAGGAUGAAGGCCUUCGGGUUGUAAACUGCUUUUGUACGGAACGAAAAGACUCUGGUUAAUACCUGGGGUCCAUGACGGUACCGUAAGAAUAA